rnacentral:rRNA from 1 species
UACGUAGGGUGCGAGCGUUGUCCGGAAUUACUGGGCGUAAAGAGCUCGUAGGUGGUUUGUCGCGUUGUUCGUGAAAACUCACAGCUUAACUGUGGGCGUGCGGGCGAUACGGGCAGACUGGAGUACUGCAGGGGAGACUGGAAUUCCUGGUGUAGCGGUGGAAUGCGCAGAGUAUCAGGAGGAACACCGGUGGCGAGGCGGGUCUCUGGGCAGUAACUGACGUGGAGGAGCGAAAGCCGUGGGGAGCGAACAGGA